rnacentral:rRNA from 1 species
GACGAACGCUGGCGGCGUGCCUAAUACAUGCAAGUAGAACGCUGAAGAGAGGAGCUUGCUCUUCUUGGAUGAGUUGCGAACGGGUGAGUAACGCGUAGGUAACCUGCCUUGUAGCGGGGGAUAACUAUUGGAAACGAUAGCUAAUACCGCAUAACAAUGGAUGACACAUGUCAUUUAUUUGAAAGGGGCAAUUGCUCCACUACAAGAUGGACCUGCGUUGUAUUAGCUAGUAGGUGAGGUAAUGGCUCACCUAGGCGACGAUACAUAGCCGACCUGAGAGGGUGAGCGGCCACACUGGGACUGAGACACGGCCCAGACUCCGACGGGAGGCAGCAGUAGGGAAUCUUCGGCAAUGGGGGCAACCCUGACCGAGCAACGCCGCGUGAGUGAAGAAGGUUUUCGGAUCGUAAAGCUCUGUUGUAAGUCAAGAACGGGUGUGAGAGUGGAAAGUUCACACUGUGACGGUAGCUUACCAGAAAGGGACGGCUAACUACGUG